UUGAAAAAUUUUUAAUAUUCUAGAUAUUCCACAGUUCCUUAUCGUGUCCAUUUCCAAUUUCUUGGUCGUUGGGAUUCAUGGUCAAUACAGAUUAGAUUAAUAUUUAAGGAUAGAUAUUACCUCCCCCUUUCCCUUUCAAACAAAUUCAAAUGAUUGAAGUUUUUCUCUUUGGAAUCGUGUUAGGUCUCAUUCCUAUUACUUUGGCUGGAUUAUUCGUAACUGCAUAUUUACAAUACCGACGUGGUGAUCAACUUUAGACUGUGGUUCAAAUAUU